CCAUUACACUUCACGCACUGGGGAGUACUGAUCGCGUAAGAUGACGUUGAUCUAACUAUUCAUCCCAAGUGGGCGCCCAGAUCAUUUUCUCCCACUCCAUUGAAGCAGCGUCAACGGUGGUCGAACCACUUGGGGUGUCUGGCAUGCGCGAUUUUGGGGCGGCGCUGCUGUAUGAGAGGAACGCGUCUUCCAGAGCGGAGAAAGCUGAUUACUUCACCGCGUGGGACACAGCCUUCCAGCGGAUCUAACAUCAGAACUAAUUAGCCAAUCGGGCCUUAAUUAAGACACAGGACCAUUGUCCAUCCUCUUAAUCUUGUGGCGUAACACUUCUCUAAAUUUUCUUCCCAUAUCCUCAUAUCAUACUAAGGAAUGACGCACAAUUUUAGAUUAUGUUGGUUUAAUACAAGGAGAAGCGGUGAAAUGA